rnacentral:rRNA from 1 species
GGGGGGGUGCUAUAAUGCAGUCGAACGAGUUCUCGUUGAUGAUCGGUGCUUGCACCGAGAUUCAACAUGGAACGAGUGGCGGACGGGUGAGUAACACGUGGGUAACCUGCCCUUAAGUGGGGGAUAACAUUUGGAAACAGAUGCUAAUACCGCAUAGAUCCAAGAACCGCAUGGUUCUUGGCUGAAAGAUGGCGUAAGCUAUCGCUUUUGGAUGGACCCGCGGCGUAUUAGCUAGUUGGUGAGGUAAUGGCUCACCAAGGCGAUGAUACGUAGCCGAACUGAGAGGUUGAUCGGCCACAUUGGGACUGAGACACGGCCCAAACUCCUACGGGAGGCAGCAGUAGGGAAUCUUCCACAAUGGACGCAAGUCUGAUGGAGCAACGCCGCGUGAGUGAAGAAGGCUUUCGGGUCGUAAAACUCUGUUGUUGGAGAAGAAUGGUCGGCAGAGUAACUGUUGUCGGCGUGACGGUAUCCAACCAGAAAGCCACGGCUAACUACGUGCCAGCAGCCGCGGUAAUACGUAGGUGGCAAGCGUUAUCCGGAUUUAUUGGGCGUAAAGCGAGCGCAGGCGGUUUUUUAAGUCUGAUGUGAAAGCCCUCG